GGCCAGGAGAACCGAGCUCGGGUCCAGUCCCUCAAGCUCCCUUGUUAAACAGAAGUGUUGAGAGCCUAGAUGCCAGGCCCCAGGUGCCAGGGCCACGGAGUAACCCACAGACCACGGCUCCCGCUCCGGAGGAGUGUGCGGUCUGGGGCGCCCCAUCUCGAGGGACAAGCACCGACAAAUACCACCACGGAACAACCCACGGAGGCCUAGCUGUGGGGCCGGCCACGGAGCACGCUGUGCAGAAUUCCCCGGUCGUGUUCCUGCCCACACAGAAGGCAGGGGCGGUGGUGGGCUCAGCAGGCCAUGCCAAACCCCGGGCUGCCCCAGGAUUCAAAGAAGCUCCGCAGCACAUCACAGCGGAGUAGGGGAUCUGAAUCCGCACAACAGAGCCUGGAGACGUUCAAUCAACAAAGAUGGCCUUUGAACUCUCCUUGAUCCAAAAGGGGAGAGGACUGUGUGCUGCUCCGUGGGCGCCUACCUGGUUGUCGCUUUUAUCUUCCAUCAAUAAAAUCGGCUUUGUAAUUUUUACUUAUGUAGCCACCCAGGGGCCAUCCUUAUAAAACAGUGGUUAAAAGCUUGGGCUCAGAUGGGCCUGAGUUCAAAUUCAGGUUCUACUGUGCAUGAGCUGCGUGACCCGAGGCACGUGGGAUGCGCUCUCCAGGUCUCGAGUGGCUUACCUGUAGGAUGAAAAUAAGAGUAUCCUCGCCUUCCUCACUAAUGUUGCCGCGAGCUUCAAGUGAGAAUGCAGUUUGUACGUGUCUGACGUGUGGUCAACACUGAAUAAAUGUAAACUGUG